UUACAGUUUUUUUUUCUUGUAUUUUUGAUCAAAUAAAUAGCAGCCUUGAUGAGCAUAAGAGACUUCUUUAAAAAACAUUACAAGUCUUACUGAUCCCAAACGGCAGUGUGCGUAAUAUAACAAACUCAAUAAAUAAAUAAAUAAUUAAAUCAAUAUAUAAUAAAUAUAUAAAUGUAACUAGUUUACCCAGCUAAUAAUGUCCCAGAAUGUUCUAAGGACUGUCAGAUAACCAAACCAUACAAUAACAUUAGGAGAAUAAUAACAAUAUGUUUUCUUGGUUAUCAUCCAUUAAUAAAUUGAGCUUUUUUAAAGCAUAAAUAUCGAGAUACUGAAACCAGCAGUUUUUAUUCAGGUUUGAUUAAACUAAAAGUCUCAUGCUGAGCACAAGUGCAACGUCUUGUCAGUCAUCAGUCUGUGGUAUUUAUUAUAGAACACUCAUUGUUCUUGAGCUGAGUCCAUCACCCUUCAGGCUUUCUAUAAAGAAUAGAGCAGCUAUGGCAACAGCCAUUCCCAAACAUGCCACUGUGCUGCAAGAAUGUAAAAAAUCAGCAGCUACUAAACUGCUCAGAAAUCAAAUCCACGGGAAGAAAAUGUGCCAUGCAUGAGGUGAGUUCACUUCUUUUAAUUGGAAGACAAAGAGGACAAGGUAAAAUCAUUUUAAAUUCUAUAGGUUUUGAAAUCAGGCAAUAAUUACUCUGAAUAUAUAUAGUGCACAAGUAAACAUAGAAAGUAUCUCAUUAGAAAAUAUUUAAGUGUGAUUAAAAUUACUGAUCGAAAAAUUUAAACCAGCAUAACCUUUAAACCUUAUAAUAUUUUUACAAGUUUAAAUAUAUUCAGUCUCACCAGUAACUCAAAUAUGACUACUCAUAAGAAGACAAUCAGCAAGCAACAGAGACCAGCUCUAAGAAUCCCAUUUGGUCACCGACGUAGAACAGAUAUAUUGCUCCUCAAAAAUGGUCAAAUGACGUUGAAACACCCACAAGCCUUUCCAAUGCUGGGAGAACUUCCUUCUUUGGCAGGCUUACUGCUGCACCCUGGUAAGCGGGAAAAGAUGGUAACCACAACAGAAACUGAAUUUGGACCCAAAACCUGCCCAAAAGUAGAGCCAAAGAAGAUCCUACAGUGCAGCCUAACUCUAGAUGGUGACAGGAGUUUCAACACAACAAAUAGAGAGGAUUACCCUUAUUACAAACCAGAUGGCACUCCAAUCGUGUGGCAGGGAAAAGCCCCCGCAAGAGAAAACAGGACUGGCCAAGCACAGAGAGGUUCUCUUUACCAGCAGGACUUCCCUGCUCCAAAGAAAAUCUACAUCAGGAGAAAUCAGGUUGUACCUCAUCCUGACAACCUGGCGAUCAACACUUCAAUGAGAGCUGAAUACAAAACAGUGCAGCAAGAGGCUUUCCCAGGCUGGGAUGUCUCUGUGCACACACGCCCAACGCCUGUCCGACUCAAAAGAACAGCUGCAGAUGACUGA
rnacentral:lncRNA from 1 species